UAUCUGUCAAAAACAGGGGAUCAAGAAAAUACAUUUUAUGAAAAGAUGCAGGAACAUACAUAAGGAUUUUUUUUUUCUUUUCUAUAAAUUGCUUUUUAUGCCAACUCUAGUUCAUGUAAACUUUUUGCAAGGGAUAGCAACUCCAUCUUUGCCAUGCUUCAGGUUUGUAUAAAUUGCUGAUGGAUUUGUUAAGAGUAAUAGAUGCAUUCAAAUGCAGCUCAAGCAGAUGAAAGCUCUAGCUGGAGGUUGAUGGGCUUCAAAAGGAUUAAAGGGAAGAGAGACAAUGACAAGGAAGAAUAAGAGUUGAACACUAUAAUAAUUACAAAUGUGUAUCCAUUUAACUUGAAUACAUUGAUUUAUAAUUUUGUUUAUUUCCUUUUCGUUAAACAAUCAAAAAUCAAAACUAAAACCUGCAAACCUUAAAAUGCACAUUUGCCACCUGGGCUGAGUCUCAAAAGCAUAAUGUUAUUUUCCUCCAUGUUAACUUAAAAUAUUAAAGAACCAAAAACUAAAUGUGUUCUUCUUGUCAAGCGAAAUGACACACGUAUAGGUAAGGGGCCAACCAGAAAGACUUGCUCAAACUCGCAUAUUAAAAGAGUGGUCCAAUUAUAAGAGGCAUGUGAAAUACAUGCAUCAACUAUAAUUGCAUUCAUGCGAAGGAUUUUGUUUAUGGCUAGUACACCAUUAAAAUGCUUUAAGAGAAAAAUA
rnacentral:misc_RNA from 1 species